AUGUACCACUCGUACAUUCCAGUUCCGAGCGCGCCGUUCACACCCACCUGACGACUGCUUGCGACGUUUUGUCGGCC
rnacentral:sRNA from 2 species